GAGAGAAAAAAUAACAUCCCAUCCACCCCUGAAGAAAUUAAAAUCUCUGAACGACCUCGACCAAGCUAAUGAAGAACAAGAAACAGAGUUUCUAAAACUUCAGGUCAUUGAGCAACAGAACAUUAUUGAUGAGCUCACAAGGGACCGAGAAAAGCUCAUCCGUAGAAGAAAGCAUAGAAGAAGUUCCAAGCCAAUUAAGAGUUUAGCAGCUGAAGAAUCUGAACUAAGAUUUCGACAAUUAACAAAAGAAUAUCAGGCCCUCCAAAGAGCAUAUGCCCUCCUACAGGAGCAGACGGGAGGCAUCAUCGACGCUGAACGAGAAGCCAAGGCUCAAGAACAGCUCCAAGCAGAGGUGCUAAGGUAUAAAGCCAAAAUUGAAGACCUGGAAGCGACUCUGGCUCAGAAAGGGCAGGAUUCACACUGGGUAGAAGAUAAACAACUUUUCAUUAAGAGAAACCAGGAGCUUUUAGAAAAGAUAGAAAAACAGGAGGCAGAAAAUCACCGGUUACAACAGGAACUACAGGACGCCAGAGACCAGAAUGAGCUGCUGGAGUUUCGAAACCUAGAGCUAGAAG
rnacentral:sRNA from 1 species